CAAUAGCGUAUAUUUAAGUUGUUGCAGUUAAAAAGCUCGUAGUCGGAUUUUGGCUGAGAACGAACGGUCCGCCGUUAGGUGUGCACUGUUUGGUCUCAGCUUCCUGGUGAGGAGGUGUGCUUCACGGCCACUCAGUCACCGUGGUUACUUUGAAAAAAUUAGAGUGUUCAAAGCGGGCUUACGCUUGAAUAUAUUAGCAUGGAAUAACACCAUAGGACUCCUGUCCUAUUUCGUUGGUCUCGGGACGGGAGUAAUGAUUAAGAGGAACAGUUGGGGGCAUUCGUAUUUCAUUGUCAGAGGUGAAAUUCUUGGAUUUAUGAAAGACGAACUUCUGCGAAAGCAUUUACCAAGGAUGUUUUCAUUGA
rnacentral:rRNA from 1 species